GACGAACGCUGGCGGCGUGCUUAACACAUGCAAGUCGAACGGAAAGGCCUCAGCUUGCUGGGGUACUCGAGUGGCGAACGGGUGAGUAACACGUGGGUGAUCUGCCUUGCACUCUGGGAUAAGCUUGGGAAACUGGGUCUAAUACCGGAUAUGAACUGCCUUUAGUGUGGUGGUUGGAAAGUUUUUUCGGUGCAAGAUGAGCUCGCGGCCUAUCAGCUUGUUGGUGGGGUAAUGGCCUACCAAGGCGUCGACGGGUAGCCGCCCUGAGAGGGUGUACGGCCACAUUGGGACUGAGAUACGGCCCAGACUCCUACGGGAGGCAGCAGUGGGGAAUAUUGCACAAUGGGCGGAAGCCUGAUGCAGCGACGCCGCGUGGGGGAUGACGGCCUUCGGGUUGUAAACUCCUUUCGACAGGGACGAAGCUUUUUGUGACGGUACCUGUAUAAGAAGCACCGGCUAACUACGUG
rnacentral:rRNA from 1 species